CAGUCACUAUCACACCUUAGG
rnacentral:miRNA from 1 species